UUAUUAGUAGGUUAUUUAAAUCGGUAGAUUGUGGUUCUGCAGAAUGUGUAUUUAUACACACUUGUAAU
rnacentral:tRNA from 1 species